GCGGGUGUAGCUCAGUGGUAGAGCAUCAGCUUCCCAAGCUGGUGGUCGCGGGUUCAAGUCCCGUUACCCGCUCCA
rnacentral:tRNA from 1 species